CCUACGGGUGGCAGCAGUGGGGAAUAUUGGACAAUGGGGGGAACCCUGAUCCAGCCAUGCCGCGUGUGUGAAGAAGGCCCUCGGGUUGUAAAGCACUUUCAGUGAGGAAGAACGCCUGGUGGUUAAUACCCAUCAGGAAAGACAUCACUCACAGAAGAAGCACCGGCUAACUCCGUGCCAGCAGCCGCGGUAUACGGAGGGUGCGAGCGUUAAUCGGAAUUACUGGGCGUAAAGCGCGCGUAGGUGGCUUGAUAAGCCGGUUGUGAAAGCCCCGGGCUCAACCUGGGAACGGCAUCCGGAACUGUCAAGCUAGAGUGCAGGAGAGGAAGGUAGAAUUCCCGGUGUAGCGGUGAAAUGCGUAGAGAUCGGGAGGAAUACCAGUGGCGAAGGCGGCCUUCUGGACUGACACUGACACUGAGGUGCGAAAGCGUGGGUAGCAAACAGGAUUAGAUACCCUGGUAGUC
rnacentral:rRNA from 1 species